CAGCCGCCGCGGUAAUACGAAGGGUGCAAGCGUUAAUCGGAAUUACUGGGCGUAAAGCGUGCGUAGGCGGUUUGUUAAGUCUGCUGUGAAAUCCCCGGGCUCAACCUGGGAAUGGCAGUGGAUACUGGCUCGCUAGAGUGUGUCAGAGGAUGGUGGAAUUCCCGGUGUAGCGGUGAAAUGCGUAGAGAUCGGGAGGAACAUCAGUGGCGAAGGCGGCCAUCUGGGACAACACUGACGCUGAGGCACGAAAGCGUGGGGAGCAAACAGGAUUAGAUACCCCUGUAGUCCCUGUCUCUUAUAC
rnacentral:rRNA from 1 species